CAGUCGAACGAAGUAGCAAUACUUAGUGGCAGACGGGUGAGUAACAUGUAGGUAUCUGCCCUUUGGCCUGGAAUAACACGAGGAAACUUGUGCUAAUACCGGAUAAGUCUUUACGGAGAAAGCUUUAUGCACCAUUGGAUGAGCCUGCACUUGAUUAGUUUGUUGGUGGGGUAAUGGCCUACCAAGACUGUGAUCAAUAGCUGAUUUGAGAGGAUGAUCAGCCACAUUGGGACUGAGACACGGCCCAAACUCCUACGGGAGGCAGCAGUGGGGAAUCUUGCACAAUGGAGGAAACUCUGAUGCAGCGAUGCCGCGUGAGUGAAGAAGGCCUUUGGGUUGUAAAGCUCUUUCGUCGGGGAAGAAAAUGACUGUACUCGAAUAAGAAGGUCCGGCUAACUUCGUGCCAGCAGCCGCGGUAAUACGAAGGGACCUAGCGUAGUUCGGAAUUACUGGGCUUAAAGAGUUCGUAGGUGGUUGAAAAAGUUGGUGGUGAAAUCCCAGAGCUUAACUCUGGAACUGCCAUCAAAACUUUUCAGCUAGAGUUUGAUAGAGGAAAGCAGAAUUUCUAGUGUAGAGGUGGAAUUCGUAGAUAUUAGAAAGAAUACCAAUUGCGAAGGCAGCUUUCUGGAUCAUUACUGACACUGAGGAACGAAAGCAUGGGUAGCGAAGAGGAUUAGAUACCCUCGUAGUCCAUGCC
rnacentral:rRNA from 1 species